rnacentral:rRNA from 1 species
AACGAACGUUGGCGGCAGGCCUAACACAUGCAAGUCGAGCGAGAUCUUCGGAUCUAGCGGCGGACGGGUGAGUAACGCGUGGGAAUGUGCCCUUCUCUACGGAAUAGCCUCGGGAAACUGGGAGUAAUACCGUAUACGCCCUUUGGGGAAAGAUUUAUCGGAGAAGGAUCAGCCCGCGUUGGAUUAGGUAGUUGGUGGGGUAAUGGCCUACCAAGCCGACGAUCCAUAGCUGGUUUGAGAGGAUGAUCAGCCACACUGGGACUGAGACACGGCCCAGACUCCUACGGGAGGCAGCAGUGGGGAAUCUUAGACAAUGGGGGCGAACCCUGAUCUAGCCAUGCCGCGUGAGUGAUGAAGGCCUUAGGGUUGUAAAGCUCUUUCAGCUGGGAAGAUAAUGACGGUACCAGCAGAAGAAGCCCCGGCUAACUCCGUG